GAUGAAGAACGCAGCGAAAUGCGAUAAGUAAUGCGAAUUGCAGAAUUCCAGUGAGUCAUCGAAUCUUUGAACGCACAUUGCGCCCUUUGGUAUUCCGAAGGGCAUGCCUGUUCGAGCGUCAUUAUCACCCCUCAAGCCCUCGGCUUGGUGUUGGAAGGUUUGGUGGUGGCCCCCUCGGGGGCUCCUGCCCCUCCCAAAGACAAUGACGGCGGCCUCGUUGGACCCCCGGUACACUGAGUUCUUCACGGGACACGUAUCGGACACAUGGGUUUACGGGACACGGUCUGCCUCCCCUCAGGGAGAAUCUUUCUAAGGUUGACCUCGGAUCAGGUAGGGAUACCCGCUGAACUUAAGCAUAUCAAUAAGCGGAGGA
rnacentral:misc_RNA from 1 species